rnacentral:rRNA from 1 species
ACGAACGCUGGCGGCGUGCUUCACACAUGCAAGUCGAACGGUGAAGCGCCUUCCUUUUUGGUGGGUGUGGAUGAGUGGCGAACGGGUGAGUAACACGUGAGUAACCUGCCCCCUUCUUCUGGAUAACCGCAUGAAAGUGUGGCUAAUACGGGAUAUUCUGGGUCUGUCGCAUGAUGGGUCUGGGAAAGAUAUUGUUUCGGUGGGGGAUGGGCUCGCGGCCUAUCAGCUUGUUGGUGGGGUGAUGGCCUACCAAGGCGGUGACGGGUAGCCGGCCUGAGAGGGUGGACGGUCACACUGGGACUGAGACACGGCCCAGACUCCUACGGGAGGCAGCAGUGGGGAAUAUUGCACAAUGGGCGCAAGCCUGAUGCAGCGACGCCGCGUGAGGGAUGGAGGCCUUCGGGUUGUGAACCUCUUUCGCCAGUGAAGCAGGCCUGCCUCGUUUGUGGGUGGGUUGACGGUAGCUGGACAAGAAGCGCCGGCUAACUACGUG